CUUAAACUGCCACCGGGUAGAAAUGCAAAAAGCAUUUGUUGGCGCAUCGUUAGGUCUUUAGAAGAUGUGCCGCCAAAUGUUUAUUUUUU
rnacentral:ncRNA from 1 species